AGAAAGGCGAGAGAGCUAUAAAAGAGGCACCGUUCUCGACGAUGGGCAUCAAACACCUCGACAUGAAGGUGUUCGUGAUUACGCUCCUAUUGGCGUGCCUCGCUACCGCCUAUGGCGGUUACAUAAGCAGUGGAGGCUGGUCUGGCGGAGGUGGUGGCUGGUCUGGCGGAGGUGGAGGUGGAGGCUGG